rnacentral:misc_RNA from 1 species
GAUGAAGAACGUAGCGAAAUGCGAUAAGUAAUGUGAAUUGCAGAAUUCAGUGAAUCAUCGAAUCUUUGAACGCACAUUGCGCCCAUUAGCAUUCUAGUGGGCAUGCCUGUUCGAGCGUCAUUUCAACCCUUAAGCCCUGUUGCUUAGCGUUGGGAGCCUACAGUACUGUAGCUCCCCAAAGUUAGUGGCGGAGUCGGUUUCACACUCUAGACGUAGUAAUUUUUUCUCGUCUGUAGUUGAGCCGGUCCCCUGCCGUAAAACACCCAAUUUAUCAAGGUUGACCUCGAAUCAGGUAGGAAUACCCGCUGAACUUAAGCAUAUCAAUAAGCGGAGGA